GACGAACGCUGGCGGCGUGCCUAAUACAUGCAAGUAGAACGCACAGUUUAUACCGUAGCUUGCUACACCAUAGACUGUGAGUUGCGAACGGGUGAGUAACGCGUAGGUAACCUGCCUGGUAGCGGGGGAUAACUAUUGGAAACGAUAGCUAAUACCGCAUAAUAUUGAUUAUUGCAUGAUAAUUGAUUGAAAGAUGCUAUUGCAUCACUACAGAUGGACCUGCGUUGUAUUAGCUAGUAGGUGAGGUAACGGCUCACCUAGGCGACGAUACAUAGCCGACCUGAGAGGGUGAUCGGCCACACUGGGACUGAGACACGGCCCAGACUCCUACGGGAGGCAGCAGUAGGGAAUCUUCGGCAAUGGACGAAAGUCUGACCGAGCAACGCCGCGUGAGUGAAGAAGGUUUUCGGAUCGUAAAGCUCUGUUGUAAGAGAAGAACGGGUGUGAGAGUGGAAAGUUCACACUGUGACGGUAUCUUACCAGAAAGGGACGGCUAACUACGUG
rnacentral:rRNA from 1 species